rnacentral:rRNA from 1 species
ACUCCUACGGGAGGCAGCAGUCGGGAAUUUUGCUCAAUGGGGGAAACCCUGAAGCAGCAACGCCGCGUGAGGGAUGAAGGCCUUCGGGUUGUAAACCUCUUUUCUCAGGGAAGAUAAUGACGGUACCUGAGGAAUAAGCCACGGCUAACUACGUGCCAGCAGCCGCGGUAAUACGUAGGUGGCGAGCGUUGUCCGGAUUUACUGGGCGUAAAGAGCGCGCAGGCGGUCGUGCAAGUCGCGUGUGAAAGCCCCCGGCUCAACUGGGGAGGGUCACGCGAUACUGCUCGACUCGAAGGCAGGAGAGGGAAGUGGAAUUCCCGGUGUAGUGGUGAAAUGCGUAGAUAUCGGGAGGAACACCAGUGGCGAAGGCGGCUCGCUGGGCCGUUCCUGACGCUGGGACGCGAAAGCUAGGGGAGCGAACAGGAUUAGAUACCCUGGUAG